UUGUGCUAGAUUAUAUUAAUGCACGCACCAUAUUACAGCACACAAUAGCUCUCUCAUCAGAAUCCAGUGAUAGCACACAAGGGUUUACAGGGGCGCCCCUAUAUUAUAAUAUCCUCUGCAUUACAAAGAUCUCACUACUAUUUAUGUUUUCAUGGUUCUCAGAUAUUAUACAUUACAGUGAAUAUCAGAAUCCGCGCAUCAGAAGAAUAUUGUGGAACACUGCAACGACUUACAAAAUUGGCACCAAGGCAUUGAGUGCCAUUCUGGAUGCAAUGCAACUCAUACGCUCCCCACCUGUAGAUUCUUGUUCACAAUAUGAUCCUAAUGAUUAUUCUGACCUCGAGGAGUCAAAGGCAGAUGGUCUGUCCUGUUCACCCAUCAAGGUGCCUGUUCUAAUUUGGCAAGGUUUUAUUGAUUGCGCGUAUCUUGCAUAUGUUGUCUUGCAUUUCUUCUACUAUGUUGCACCGCCAUCUGCUUAGUUUACUCAUCAUAUAUGUCAAGAUGCCAUGCCCAUCCAUUAUCAAUACAUAUUCCAUCUGUCAUCAUACCAUGUUUUUCUACUCAAAUGCUAUUCUUGUGCAUUAGACAUCAAAAAGGAAGAGGGUGAUUGCCGAACCUGAAGGAGCACCAGCAAAGUCCUUGAAAAACGUGGUGGUGCCGGAGAAAUCAGACAGCACCCCACUUAUAUUGGCUGUACAACCAGUGACACAAAACGUAGGACCGACUCCAGCAGACCGUACCCAUACUUCACUAGCCACACCACUAGCCCCACCACAAAGGACCUGCACUCCAGCAAAAGGUAUGCCAAUUUCAGUUGCCAUAGUAUAGCCGUACCAGAAAAAAAUCCCACUCCAGCAAAAAGUACAGCAAGUCCAUCAGCCGAAGACCUAUCCCAACUGUAGAGACAGCCAAUUCCUGCAGAUUGGAACCCCAUUCCAGUUAUUUCCAGUUUAAAAGACAAUGCUUUCAAUGUUGUUAGGGACUACGUGCAUAUAUUCCCAUCAUGGGAAGAUUAUAGUGAAGACAAACACCAUUUUCACAUCUUCCUGUCCCACUUACGUGUAAGUGCUAUUAUUCAUGGUGAUUAUUUCCUGUUUUCUGCUGAUUGAACAAAUCAAUGAUUUACAUUACAUUGUUGUAAGUAGGCGAGGGUCAAUCUGGAUAGUCAUGACGAGCAAAGCUUGCUUGCGCUUUUCAAGGAAGCAUUGCAACAAUAUCGGUGUUACAGAAGGAAAUCACACUUUGAUGGCAAGUCUAUAAACGAAUUUCCGGUGAAGUCUCCUGUGCUAAAUUUAGAAGACAUUGAAUGGAAAAACCUUGUUAUGCACUGGUCCCAUUCCCAGGAUGAGGUAUUGUCUAUGAUAUCACAUGACAAUUUGAACUUCUACUUUUCCACAUGUGCCUUACAGAUCUUUUUUGCAGGAAAUCUGCUCCAAGAAGAAUUCCGGUUUGAAAAGAAUGACAGGAUAUCGCAAAUAUGCUGCCCGCUGCUUUGCUCUUGUUAGUACAUGUUGUCCUCUAUCACUGUACUUGCAUUCAUACCUGGUUCAUUAUGUGACAGCAGUACGCAUGAUAGCUUGCUUAUCAAUUAUUCGCUCCAAAUUAUCUGAUCUGUAUGAAUGGUUACAUUAGUCUAGAAUAUAUCCAAUGCCAAUGAAUUUUUUUAGCUCUGCAUUGUUCUUGUAAGUACCUGCUGUCCUUUAUCAGUGUACUUAUAUUGAUAGGUAGUUAUUCAUGUACCAUCACUCUGCAGCUUAUUUUCCUUUGCCCUCCAUUUUCUACACAUCAGAUCUAUAUUUACUCUUACCAUAAGGUUGGAUAACACCGACGGUACUGAAGAAGUUUAGCUCUGCAUUGCUCUUGGUUGUACCCUUUGCCUGUACCAUUGCACUUACAUGUAUAGCUACUUGGUUAUGUAGCAUCACUCUUCAUCUUAUCUUAAAUAUUCUCCAUUUUUUCUUAUAUUAUCACAUCUAUAUUUACUCUUAACAAAAUGUAGAAUAAAGGCAAUGCUUAUGAAGAAGAUUCUGUGGUAAACUUCUUGAAUUGCCCCCCCAUCAGCAUGGAAAAGGGCUUUAUAGAGCCUGUCUUCACCAAUAAUGUAAGUUUGUCCUUCUCAAGCCUUCAAACUUUGUUGUGUAUAUUUGGUUAGGCAUGACUGCAACAGCUCCUUAUUUUUGGUGUUUGCAUCAAAUUGCAUGUUCAAAGUUUAUUAUGUAGUUCAUAAACAAAAGUUUGUCCUUCUCAAUUUAAGUUUUCAGUUGUACAACCAAGUUCCUUCUUCAUACCAUGUAAAUUAAACUAUACAGAGCAAGUGAUCUUCUUUUGCACUACAUGUAUGCUUCUGUUCUUGAUCCGUAAUCCAGUGGUGUGGUGAACCUACCACUACAGCACAAUGUCAUAUUCUGCAAUGUCUUAACUAUGAACUAUGUCAUAUCAUUCUACUAUUAUUUAAACCAUCUCUUUAUUUGCCAAUCUGAAAUGGGAUAAAUUGACAGCACACUAACCAUUGAUACUUAUGAGUUCUUGAUCUGUAAUCCAGUGGUGUCGUGAAGCUGCCAGCUCCUUCACAAUGUCAUUUCCUG
rnacentral:lncRNA from 1 species